rnacentral:rRNA from 1 species
UGGGGAAUAUUGGACAAUGGGCGAAAGCCUGACCCAGCAACGCCGCGUGAAGGAUGAAGUAUUUCGGUAUGUAAACUUCGAAAGAAUAGGAAGAAUAAAUGACGGUACUAUUUAUAAGGUCCGGCUAACUACGUGCCAGCAGCCGCGGUAAUACGUAGGGACCAAGCGUUGUUCGGAUUUACUGGGCGUAAAGGGCGCGUAGGCGGCAAUUCAAGUCAUCUGUGAAAUCUCCGGGCUUAACUCGGAACGGUCAGAUGAUACUGCUUUGCUAGAGUGCAGAAGGGGCAAUCGGAAUUCUUGGUGUAGCGGUGAAAUGCGUAGAUAUCAAGAGGAACACCUGAGGUGAAGACGGGUUGCUGGGCUGACACUGACGCUGAGGCGCGAAAGCCAGGGGAGCAAACGGGAUUAGAUACCCUCGUAGUCCCUGAGCGGGCUGGCAAGGCGCAU